rnacentral:miRNA from 1 species
UCUAAGGAAAUUAGGUCGGAUACA